rnacentral:rRNA from 2 species
UUGGGCGUAAGCGCGCGCAGGCGGUUUCUUAAGUCUGAUGUGAAAGCCCACGGCUCAACCGUGGAGGGUCAUUGGAAACUGGGGAACUUGAGUGCAGAAGAGAAAAGCGGAAUUCCACGUGUAGCGGUGAAAUGCGUAGAGAUGUGGAGGAACACCAGUGGCGAAGGCGGCUUUUUGGUCUGUAACUGACGCUGAGGCGCGAAAGCGUGGGGAGCAAACAGGAUUAGAUACCCUGGUAGUCCACGCCGUAAACGAUGAGUGCUAAGUGUUAGAGGGUUUCCGCCCUUUAGUGCUGCAGCUAACGCAUUAAGCACUCCGCCUGGGGAGUACGGUCGCAAGACUGAAACUCAGAGGAAUUGACGGGGGCCCGCACAAGCGGUGGAGCAUGUG